rnacentral:lncRNA from 1 species
AGUUGGCCUCUUCGUGAGUUUGUCCUUAAAAGGAACUAUAACUUUCCAAUCUUAAGGUGGACAUAUAAGUCCCUUUGCACCUUAAGUUGGCCUCUUUGUGGGUUUGUCCUUAAAAGAAACUAUAACUUUCCAAUCUUAAGGUGGACACAUGAGUCCCUUUGCACCUUAAGUUGGCCUCGCGGGUAGUAAAGCCACGCACUGUGGCCGUUUUGAGAGUAGUCUCUCAGAUAGUCCAGCCAUACACAUCUCUCCGAUAGUCAAGCCACGCACUAUGGCAGUUUUGAGAGUAAUCUCUCCGAUAAUCAAGCCACGCACUGUGACCGUUUUGAAAGUGAUCUCUCCGAUAGUCAAGCCAUGCAUUGUGGCCGUGUUCAGAAUAAUCUAUCCGAUAGUCAAUCCACAUUCUGUGGACAUAUAAGUCUUCCAAUAUUAAGGUGGAUAUAUGAGUUCCUUUGCACCUUAAGUUGGCCUCUCCGAUAGUCGGGCAAGAAUGAGUACUCAUCCCCUCACACCGUUUUUUUAUGCGUGGAUCUCGCUUAAACUACAAAAAAAAAGAGACAACAACGUAAACAAAUAAGAAAGUACAAGAAAAGAAGAGACAACAACGUAAAACAAAUAAGAAAGCAUAAGAAAAGAAGAAGAAAUCACCUUCACGUCAAUGCUUCCAAGUCGUUAAAAAUA